rnacentral:rRNA from 1 species
UGGGGAAUUUUGGACAAUGGGCGAAAGCCUGAUCCAGCAAUGCCGCGUGUGUGAAGAAGGCCUUCGGGUUGUAAAGCACUUUUGUCCGGAAAGAAAUCCUUGGCUCUAAUACAGUCGGGGGAUGACGGUACCGGAAGAAUAAGCACCGGCUAACUACGUGCCAGCAGCCGCGGUAAUACGUAGGGUGCAAGCGUUAAUCGGAAUUACUGGGCGUAAAGCGUGCGCAGGCGGUUUGCUAAGACCGAUGUGAAAUCCCCGGGCUCAACCUGGGAACUGCAUUGGUGACUGGCAGGCUAGAGUAUGGCAGAGGGGGGUAGAAUUCCACGUGUAGCAGUGAAAUGCGUAGAGAUGUGGAGGAAUACCGAUGGCGAAGGCAGCCCCCUGGGCCAAAUACUGACGCUCAUGCACGAAAAGCGUGGGGAGCAAACAGGAUUAGAUACCCUGGUAGUCCACGCCCUAAAACGAUGUCAACUAGUUGUUGGGGAUUCAUUUCCUUAGUAACGUAGCUAACGCGUGAAGUUGACCGCCUGGGGAGUACGGUCGCAAGAUUAAAACUUAAAUGAAUUGACGGGGUCAUAGCUGUUUCCU